GUGAGUGACACUUUGAAACAUUCUUUUUAUCUAUUUUUCCCUGUGUCUAGCUUUGGCUUUCACACUCCAGCCAAAGAGUCUCUCAACGACUCUUUCUAUCCAAUGGCUUAGUGUUGACGGCUUUCUCAGAUUUAAGGGAUCCAUUUGCAGCUCUGCAGACGAGAAGAUUCAAUGUCAUUAGGACUAGGAACAAAAUAAAUUGAAACGGGACAGAAUAAGAGAAUCGAAAUUGAAAAUCAUUAUCUCCAACGGCUAUUCGUUUUUAGCGUCCCACAAAUUUCUAUUGUUCCAGCGUUUUUUAAGACUUGAGUGCCAGUGCCUGGACUCGUUUUGAUUGCCUUCCAUAGAAAUAACGAGGUGUGCACGUGUUCCCAUUCGCCCGUGCCCUCGCCAUUCAUUCAUCUGCGAGGAUGCAGCACUUUUUAUGUCCUCACCACACAAACACACGGAGCGAAAGGAUAUAUCCGGGCAUGUCAGUUUAUGCAAGUGUUAAAUAAAGUAUCCGCUGGCCAUUGUAGUUUAUGCCCGGUUCAGCCGAGUCGCUGACAUUUAUUGCCUGCUUCAAAACGGCUUAGAAAAGGAGGAAAACAACCAAAUGGCCCAGCAAUGGCUACAUUUAUUACGGCCAGGGCACACAAACAAGAGCGGCGCACUAAUAGUUGUUGGCCAUACAAAUGGAAGGUGAAAGUAUGUCCGAUUGACAGCCCAGUCCUUUAACUGCCUUGAGUAAUAUUUCCCAUAGAAACAUAACUUUAAUUCCAAUUAAAAAUGCCUAAUCUAGAA